rnacentral:rRNA from 1 species
UUUAACCCUCUAUAUUUCUUAAAGCAAACUCAAAGGUUUAAAAUUUAUUCAAAUAAGGUACAGCCUAUUUGAAACAGGGUACAACCUACAAUACCGGGUAAUGUCCAACCUCUGUGAUCAAGUGGGCCUAAAAGCAGCCACCUUUUAAAAAGCGUUAUAGCCUUAUCACAUUCUUUUAUUAAUUCCAACCCCAACCCAAAACCCAUUAUCAAUACUGAAUGACUCCAUACCUCUAUGGAAAACCUUAUGUUAGAACUAGUAACAAGAACCGCCAUUCUCCAUAAAUGUAAGUGUAAGCCGAAAUGAACCCCACCGGCACUUAUCGCCAAUGAAUAUAUAGUAACAACCCAUCAAGAAAACAUUACUCUUUCACAAGCGUUAAUCUUACACUAGAACUUUCCUGGAAAGAUUAAAAAACUGGGAAG